CAGCCGCCACGUGCCCAAUAAAAGCAGGUGACGACACCCUGGGCCCGAAAGAAGGGAAGGGCCCCGCCUUCGGGAAGGUCACACGCCCCGCCAAGUCCCGCCCUCACGUGACCGCGGCGCCAGUCCUCGCCCGUCACUACCCUCAGCUGGGAGCGGAGGCUGACGCCCAAUCCGUGCGCUGCCAGCCGGCGCCGGGCGGGGGCCACGGAGGCGUUCAGGGUUCGGGAAGAGAAAAAUCUCCAUCUAAGGAGAAGUAAGGGAGGCGGAAGACAACGAAGACACUUGUCUAACCUGCCCCCCCCCCUAGACCGCAAGCGCCCACGGAAGCAGAGAGCCCCAUUCCAAGGCGCCUCGGCAGUGUCUGGCACACAGUAGGUGCUCAAUAAGUUGACGGGCGACUACCCCUCGGACGCUGCCGGAAGCCGAGUUGACCCCGUCGUCCUUGCCACCAGCCCCUGGACUCCCCAUUCGCCCUCCCACUGUGUCACGGAAAAGCGCGCUCGUUCUGCAGCUGGCGAGCCAACGCUUGCAAGCCUAGCUGCCCGCCCCCGGGCGGACUCCGCAAGCGCUUCGUCCCCACCUGCGUGGGUGCGGACAAAGACCCAAGCCCACUCCCCGCGCCCCCCCGCCGCCGGGCAGGAAGUGGGUCCUACGGCUCACUCUAUUGGCUCCUGUAAUGACGGAUGGGAGCGCCAGCCAACCGCAGCCUGGGCGAGGCGCAUGCGUACACAAGAGAUUGCGCCCCUAGAUGGGGAAAAAACCAGCCCCGCGAGCCGAUUUUGGCUGGGUCUCGCCAGAGCCGGCAGGAGGCGCGCGUGCGUGGAUCUAACCGGUCCCUCCCUGGCCAAUUUGCGGGGCCGAGAGCGCCCUCUGGCCUCUUGGCUGGGGUCCCAGACGUCUAGCCUCCGUCAACACUACGUCUGACCCGGCGCUGCCUGGAGGGUCCCGAGGCAUCGACGAGUCGCGGUCCCCGCCCUCAGCGAGGACACGACCGUCCCCCCUCAAACAGCCAGAGAGCCGUGAGCCCUCUGGGAGCCGUGGGCCGACAGUAACGUGAAUGUUAAGUUGAGGGUGAUGUUUCUCAGCUUACCAAGAGUUACCACCCAUGCUCUCUGGGAGUUCCUCCCCAAACCCCGUGUUAGAGAAGCGGAGGCUCGGGAGGGCCAAGAGACUAGGCUGAGGCGCCUGCCUGGGAGGGUGUAACCGGAACCGAACCCUGGAUAAGCUGCCCGCCUGCUCUCCGAGGAGGCUGUUUAGUUGAGGUGAUGGUACUUCAGGGAGAGGAAAAGUGAAGGCACAGUUUCAGCCCUCUCCCCCCUCCCUUUUUAUAAAUAGACAAUGAGUGCUAAGGACGUUCAGAGCAGGAAAGAACUUUGGGCUCUUGUGAGCUGAAAAGGCUGCGUGAAGAAGCUUGAGGCUUCAAGUUGAUCCCCAGAACAACCCUUGAAGAUGUGGACUCCGUGUUAGAGAUGAAGAGACGCAGCUGGAAGUUACUUCAGGCCAGUGAACAGAGACAGGAAAGGCUGAAAGACAGAAGGCCGGUGGGGAGCCCUCUGCAGCGAAACCUCCAGUGUGUCAAGCACUGUUUCUGAAACAGAGGGACAGGCAGCAUUUGUUGAGUGGUGAGCGACUGGACCUACUUACUAAUCAGGACUUACCCCCAUUUUACUCUGUGUGCCUGUGCAGGAUGGAAGUCAGUCUCUGAGAGAAGGGUGCCAACUUGGGCCAGUGAAGCAACGUUCUCCACAACUAGACUGAAGAACAAAACAACAACUUGUCUGU